GGCUCAUUAGUUUAGUGGUUAGAAUAGAUGGCUGUUAACCGUCUGACGGGAGUUCGAUUCUUCCAUGAGCCG
rnacentral:tRNA from 1 species